UACGAGGGGGGCGAGCGUUGUUCGGAAUUAUUGGGCGUAAAGGGUGCGUAGGCGGUUUGGUAAGUCGUAUGUGAAAUCUAUGGGCUCAACUCAUAGUCUGCAUGAGAAACUGCCGGGCUUGAGUAUGGGAGAGGUGAGUGGAAUUCCUGGUGUAGCGGUGAAAUGCGUAGAUAUCAGGAGGAACACCUGUGGCGAAAGCGGCUCACUGGACCAUAACUGACGCUGAUGCACGAAUGCUAGGGGAGCAAACAGG
rnacentral:rRNA from 1 species